ensembl:snoRNA
CUGGCAGCCAGCCGUUUUUUGAAGUUGUUAGUUUCAAGCAAGAGCCUAAAGUGAUAUCUUUUUAUGGUCUGUUGGCCAUUUCAGAACUUUAGAAAUGUAAUGGUCAGCCAGGCGUGGUGGCUCACGC